rnacentral:rRNA from 1 species
UACGGGGGGGGCUAGCGUUGUUCGGAAUUACUGGGCGUAGAGGGCGCGUAGGCGGUCUGCUAAGUUGGAUGUGAAAACUCUGGGCUUAACCCAGAGCCUGCAUUCAAUACUGACAGGCUAGAGUUCUGGAGGGGAUAGCGGAAUUCCAGGUGUAGCGGUGAAAUGCGUAGAUAUCUGGAGGAACACCGGUGGCGAAGGCGGCAUCCUGGACCGGUAUUGACGCUGAGGCGCGAAAGCCAGGGGAGCAAACGGG